rnacentral:rRNA from 1 species
GCUGAUUGGUGAGGUAACGGCUCACCAAGGCGACGACGGGUAGCUGGUCUGAGAGGAUGGCCAGCCACAUUGGGACUGAGAUACGGCCCAGACUCCUACGGGAGGCAGCAGUGGGGAAUCUUGCGCAAUGGCCUAACGGCUGACGCAGCGACGCCGCGUGUGGGAUGAAGCUCUUCGGAGUGUAAACCACUGUUGCCCGGGACGAACAGCUCGAUUUCUCGAGCCUGACGGUACCGGGUGAGGAAGCACCGGCUAACUCCGUGCCAGCAGCCGCGGUAAUACGGGGGGUGCGAGCGUUGUCCGGAAUCACUGGGCGUAAAGGGCGCGUAGGUGGUUUGAUAAGGGUGUGGUGAAAGUCCGGGGCUCAACCCCGGAUCUGCCGUGCCGACUGUCAAACUCGAGGACUGUAGAGGCAGACGGAAUUCCGGGUGUAGCGGUGGAAUGCGUAGAGAUCCGGAGGAAGACCGGUGGCGAAGGCGGUCUGCUGGGCAGUUUCUGACACUGAGGCGCGACAGCGUGGGGAGCAAACAGGAUUAGAUACCCUGGUAGUCCACGCCGUAAACGAUGGGUACUAGGUGCCUGGGGGAGCGACCCUCUGGGUGCCGGCGCUAACGCAGGAAGUACCCCGCCUGGGGAGUACGACCGCAAGGUU